GGUCUGGUGGCUCAGUUGGAAGAGCCGUGCCAGAUAAUUCGAAUGGCACAAUCAUUUCACGCACAGGCGUGUGUUCGAACCACGCCCAGACCA